CUCGGUAUGGCGAAAUCUGGCAGACGCGCUACGUUGAGGGCGUAGUGAGCGGCAACAACCGCUCUUGCGGGUUCGACCCCCGCUACCGAGACCA
rnacentral:tRNA from 1 species